AAUAAAGUGCCUGAAAAAAAGGACUAUUUUGAUAGAAUAGAUCAUACGCUAAAUUCGUCUUUAUUA
rnacentral:tRNA from 1 species